UGGGGAAUCUUGGACAAUGGGCGCAAGCCUGAUCCAGCCAUGCCGCGUGUGUGAAGAAGGUCUUCGGAUUGUAAAGCACUUUAAGUUGGGAGGAAGGGUUGUAAGUUAAUACCUUGCUGUUUUGACGUUACCGACAGAAUAAGCACCGGCUAACUCUGUGCCAGCAGCCGCGGUAAUACAGAGGGUGCAAGCGUUAAUCGGAAUUACUGGGCGUAAAGCGCGCGUAGGUGGUUUGUUAAGUUGGAUGUGAAAGCCCCGGGCUCAACCUGGGAACUGCAUCCAAAACUGGCAAGCUAGAGUACGGUAGAGGGUGGUGGAAUUUCCUGUGUAGCGGUGAAAUGCGUAGAUAUAGGAAGGAACACCAGUGGCGAAGGCGACCACCUGGACUGAUACUGACACUGAGGUGCGAAAGCGUGGGGAGCAAACAGGAUUAGAUACCCCGGUAGUCCCUGAGCGGGCUGGCAAGGCGCAU
rnacentral:rRNA from 1 species